rnacentral:sRNA from 1 species
AGCGGAGAAGGAUGAGAAGCUUCGACUAAGGUUCGACUCGAGCGCCAGCGAGAGAGCGUUGCCGCAGGCAACGACCUGAAGGGCGAAGCGCGCAGCGCUGAGUAAUCCUUCCCCCACCACCA